rnacentral:rRNA from 1 species
UACGGGGGGAGCAAGCGUUGUUCGGAUUUACUGGGCGUAAAGGGCGCGUAGGCGGUCGUGACAAGUCACUUGUGAAAUCUCCGGGCUUAACUCGGAACGGUCAAGUGAUACUGUCGGACUAGAGUACAGAAGGGGCGACUGGAAUUCUCGGUGUAGCGGUGAAAUGCGUAGAUAUCGAGAGGAACACCUGCGGCGAAGGCGGGUUGCUGGGCUGAUACUGACGCUGAGGCGCGAAAGCCAGGGGAGCGAACGGG